ensembl:ncRNA Y54G2A.62 ncRNA
CCAACAAGUAUAGUCGAUCGAAAACCGAAACAAGUUUUGCGUGUGAGUGUGAGAGAGAGCGGGGCGCGCGCGCACACGCAGAAGGAUCCAAUAAUCGCUUGGUUCCGACAGCAGAAACGACGACGACGACGGCGGGGGGAUC